AUGUAUCACGUCUGCGAAAUUUCAUCGCCUAAAAGAAUCGGCCUCCUGGAUUUCUCUAUUUUGCCUUGGGCAAAUGCCACCGCGGUGAAAGGUUGGUGGACUGAUACAGUGAACAAUACAAGACCGCACUGGAAAGCUCUCACUUCGCUGAUUAUGUUGGUAUCUUGGGAGAUUUGGAAGGAACACAAUGCGAGAGUUUUCCGUAACACCGCCGCACCCACCAUGUUAAUUGUCGAGAGGAUCAAGGAAGAGGCCCAUCUUUGGGCUCUAGCGGGUGCGAAAUACUUGAGUAAUGUAAUGCCUCGAGAGUAG
rnacentral:rRNA from 1 species